CCGUCGGUUCUCCGCGACGAUAAGCCGAAAACUCCGCCAGGUCCGGAAGGAAGCAACGGUAUUGGCCGAUUCGGGCGCCGGAGGUCGCCGGCGGGGG
rnacentral:SRP_RNA from 1 species